ensembl:lincRNA
CCUUCAUUCGUGAUUUUUUCACAUCCUGAAGUGUGGAUUAUUUUCUAUUAACCCUCUCUUUCAGAUGAAGAUGUCUACUCAGUGAGUCUCAGGGAUUUGCCCACGAAGAAACAGGGAGACAGCAAUUGCAUGAGGUCCUGCACAGGGCAUCCUGACCACAAUACUCUGCCUUUCCACAAUACUCGCCCUCCAUGCCCCAAGAAAGCAGCCAGAGAGAACUAGUGCUGGUUUAAGGACUUGGAAUAUGAACAAAACAUGCAGUCACUUCCCACCAGGAUGUAUCCUUCUGGACAUUGGCACACGUGCAAGAUGACAAUUUAAGAUAUAAGUUGCAAAGAUUGGAGCAUCUCAAGAUAACGUGUUUUGAGGAUGGUGAGCUGCCCAGGUCACCUGGUUCUGGAUUUGAUACCUUCUGGAUGGACCUACCUAUCCACCCUGGACUGCCAUUGGUCAGAAAAGGAAACUUCUAUGUGGGUGAAUGCUUCCUGCCCGUUGGGUUUGCCACUGGCUGGUAUGUGAGUGACACUGGCUGCUGUAACAAACGUACACCAACGUUCCAGUGGCUUCCUACAACAAGAGAUUUAUUCUUCCUCCUGAAAAAUUUCAGGCUGCAUUCCUGGUUGGCAGGAAGCUCCCCUCCACAUGAUGACUCAGGGACCUCAUUUUGUUCAUCACGGCUCUGCCCUGUCUUGUACAUGUUGUUGGUGAAGUUGAUAAAGGAACAUAGAAAGCCAUUUUCUGUAGAGGAGUAACCCAAGUGAUGCCUGUCUUAUCAGCUCCUAUUCCUUUGGUAGGAAUUUACUCACACGACCGCCUCUAUUUUAGAGGGAAGCAAGGAGACUUGGUGUAACUGUAUGCUCAGAAAAGAGGGGUCAACUGAGGAUUUUAAGUAUCUAUCAAUCUCUACUUAAGUGAAUAUGGAGCAUUCUAAGUGUAGAAAACUAAAGAAAACAGAGACAGAGGAACAAAGUAGGUGAAGGUGGCAGAGCACAGAAUGAAGGAGCUGGGAAUGGCAAAGACAUUCUAUACUAGAGGAGAGGAUGGGGUAGUUUCACAAUGCAUGGAAAAUCUAUUCUCUCUGAAAACCUGGGGUUGACAUGCUACAAGUUUCUCCGUUGACCUGGGUGGCGGUUAUGCAGGGCUGUUCCCUUUGUG